UAGGGAAUUUUUCACAAUGAGCGAAAGCUUGAUGGAGCAAUGCCGCGUGAACGAUGAAGGUCUUUAAGAUUGUAAAGUUCUUUUAUUUGGGAAGAAUGACUUUAGCAGGUAAUGGCUAGAGUUUGACUGUACCAUUUUGAAUAAGUGACGACUAACUAUGUGCCAGCAGUCGCGGUAAUACAUAGGUCGCAAGCGUUAUCCGGAUUUAUUGGGCGUAAAGCAAGCGCAGGCGGAUUGAAAAGUCUGGUGUUAAAGGCAGCUGCUUAACAGUUGUAUGCAUUGGAAACUAUUAAUCUAGAGUGUGGUAGGGAGUUUUGGAAUUUCAUGUGGAGCGGUGAAAUGCGUAGAUAUAUGAAGGAACACCAGUGGCGAAGGCGAAAACUUAGGCCAUUACUGACGCUUAGGCUUGAAAGUGUGGGGAGCAAAUAGGAUUAGAUACCCUAGUAGUCCACACCGUAAACGGUAGAUACUAGCUGUCGGGGCGAUCCCCUCGGUAGUGAAGUUAACACAUUAAGUAUCUCGCCUGGGUAGUACAUUCGCAAGAAUG
rnacentral:rRNA from 1 species